CUACGGGAUGCACCAGUGAGGAAUAUUGCACAAUGGGGGGAACCCUGAUGCAGCAACGCCGCGUGGAGGAUGACGCAUUUCGGUGUGUAAACUCCUUUUAUAUGUCAAGAAAAUGACGGUAGCAUGUGAAUAAGCACCGGCUAACUCCGUGCCAGCAGCCGCGGUAAUACGGAGGGUGCAAGCGUUACUCGGAAUCACUGGGCGUAAAGGACGCGUAGGCGGGUUGGAAAGUCAGGUGUGAAAUCCUACAGCUUAACUGUAGAACUGCACUUGAAACUUCUAAUCUAGAGUAUGGGAGGGGGAGAUGGAAUUAGUGGUGUAGUGGUAAAAUCCGUAGAUAUCACUAGGAAUACCUAAAGCGAAGGCGAUCUCCUGGAACAUUACUGACGCUAAGGCGUGAAAGCGUGGGGAGCAAACAGGAUUAGAUACCCCUGUAGUC
rnacentral:rRNA from 1 species